UACGUAGGGGGCAAGCGUUGUCCGGAUUUAUUGGGCGUAAAGAGCGUGUAGGCGGCCAAACAGGUCAGCUGUGAAAACUCGAGGCUCAACCUCGAGACGUCGGUUGAAACCGUUUGGCUAGAGUCCGGAAGAGGAGAGUGGAAUUCCCGGUGUAGCGGUGAAAUGCGCAGAUAUCAGGAAGAACACCCGUGGCGAAGGCGGUUCUCUGGGACGGUACUGACGCUGAGACGCGAAAGCGUGGGGAGCGAACAGG
rnacentral:rRNA from 1 species